rnacentral:rRNA from 1 species
ACUUUCAGCAGUGGAUGUCUAGGCUCGCACAUCGAUGAAGAACGCUGCGAACUGCGAUACGUAAUGCGAAUUGCAGGAUUCAGUGAGUCAUCGAAAUUUUGAACG